AUUGAACGCUGGCGGCAUGCCUUACACAUGCAAGUCGAACGGUAACAGGUCUUCGGAUGCUGACGAGUGGCGAACGGGUGAGUAAUGCAUCGGAACGUGCCCAUUUGUGGGGGAUAACUACGCGAAAGCGUGGCUAAUACCGCAUACGCCCUGAGGGGGAAAGCGGGGGAUUCUUCGGAACCUCGCGCAAUUGGAGCGGCCGAUGUCAGAUUAGCUUGUUGGUGAGGUAAAGGCUCACCAAGGCGACGAUCUGUAGCGGGUCUGAGAGGAUGAUCCGCCACACUGGGACUGAGACACGGCCCAGACUCCUACGGGAGGCAGCAGUGGGGAAUUUUGGACAAUGGGGGCAACCCUGAUCCAGCCAUGCCGCGUGAGUGAAGAAGGCCUUCGGGUUGUAAGCUCUUCGGUGGGAAGAAUUGCACGGGCUAAUAAUCCUGUGUAGAUGACGGUACCCGACUAAGAAGCACCGGCUAACUACGUGCCAGCAGCCGG
rnacentral:rRNA from 1 species